rnacentral:lncRNA from 1 species
UAUGAUUGCAGAGUGACAGGUAAGAAAAGUAAUGCCUUAUACAAUGUAGGAAGCUCAAUUAGGAAUUCCUAGAAAAACUUUUUAAGAUGAGUGUUAACCACAGAAAUUAGGGGGCAUUGUGUGGGUCGUCUGGCUAAAUAAAUAAUGAGAAAUUUUUAGAGUUUGAUGCCUGUGUUGUAGAUGGCAAGGCAGGUGGUAGAAAAGUGGUAGGCUAAAGAGUCUGGAGUACUUUCAAUAUCCAGCAAUAAGUUUAGGUAUUAUUUUUUCCAAAACUAAAGAAAGCAUGGAACAUGCAUUUUAAGAUUCAUACAUACCUUGGCUAAAAACCAAUUCUACCACUUACUAGCUCAAAACAUCAAUUUCUUCUUUAUUUCAGUGGGUUGUUGUAAAGUACCUAGCAUAGGAUAUCCCUUAAAUAUUAGUACUCCUCCACCUCCCUAUCCUGAUUCUAAUCCUUCAGGGUAAAGUGAAAGGAAACCUAUUAAUUUCACCUUAAUGAAUGCCUUUUAGGUGUCAGGUGCUACUGAAAACAAGACAAAUAUAUCUUUGUAUCCAUUAUCUUCAAGUUAUUUACUUGAAGACUGGUGGGGAAGCCUGACAUAGAAGUGUUUGUAAGAUAGAUCCACCUUAUCAUCUGUUGUGCUAGAGUUAAGUAUUGGGUAUUGUGGGAGCCCAAAGAAGAGGCAUUCACAAGACCCUUCAGAAGCUCUUCCCGGUUACAUUGUUGUGGGAAAUUUCUAUACUGUCUCAUGCAAAAUCACAAAGUCCAUUCAGCAAGAUCUAAAUGUAUCACUCUAUCCUUAAUUGUUGAACAAAUUCAAAAGACCUUAGAAUAGAAAUCUAUACAUAAAACAUUAUUCUAAAAGGUUUUUGUUUUACGGAACUCUAAGGGAUAAAUGUGGUAUCCUGUUAUUCCUAUAAUUCUGUCGUGUUUACACCAGAAUUGUUGGACAGCACACACAAAAAAAGUUACUCUUUUUUUCUCACCAUUCAGGAAUCUAUUUGAACAUGGAUCAGUUUAUAUCGGACUUAAUGCUGCUCUCUGUGGUCUAAUAGCAAAUAGUCUUUUUCGACGCAUCUUAAACGUGACACAGGCUCGUAUAGCUGCUGGCUUACCAAUGGCAGUGAUCCCAUUUUUGACUGCGCAUGCAUCUUACAAAGGUUUUGUAAAUCUACCUUUGAAUACAGGUAAAUUCGAUUUCACUAUCACCAGAGUUUGCUUUGGUAUAUAUUAUUUGCACUUUACAUUAAUCCUUAAAUAUUAACACCAGGUUAAUAUGAUAUAUCUUAGUCGGUGCAUGGAUAAGACUGAAACUUGCUAGCCUGUGUAAAGUGGCAGUUCAUAUAACAAGUUAGUCUUCUAUGCAAGUGAAAUGCACACUCAUAGCAGUUAUAGUUUUCUUUAGCUAAGUUCUUUCCCACAAUACUUAAAGAAAUAUGUGUAAUUUUUUUUUAAAUGCUUCCUUAGUUUUCUUUUUUCUUUUUUAACAUUUAUUUAUUUUUGAGAUAGAGAGAGACAGAGCAUGAAUGGGGGAGGGUCAGAGAGAGAGGGAGACACAGAAUCUGAAACAGGCUCCAGGCUCUUAGCUGUCAGCACAGAGCCCGACUUGGGGCUCGAACUCACAGACCGUGAGAUCAUGACCUGAGCCGAAGUCAGACACUUAACCGACUGAGCCACCCAGGCACCCCACUGCCUUAGUUUUCAAAAAAAUUGUAUAGAGGAAAAAAGGGGGGGAAAAACUGAAGGGAAUAAGACCCUUUGUAGAUUAAAUCUCCCAAUGCACUAAAUGUAUAUACAAGAAUUACAAAUAUAUGGAGACUUCAUUUCCUUUUGAUUGUUUACCGUAUGUGCUGAGUGUUUUCAGUAUAAGCAUACCUUGGAAAUAUUGCAGGUUAGCCAGACUACUGCAAUAAAGUGAAUGUUUUAGCAAAGUCCAGAGAAUUUUUUGGUUUCCCAGUGCAUAUAAAAGUUAUGUUUACAAUACGCUAUAGUCUGUUUAAAGUGUACAAUAGCAUUAUGUCUAAAAAAACCAAUGCAUGUACCUUAAAAAUAUUGCUGUCAUUUAAGCUUUGAACGAGUGGUAAUCACUGGUUACAGAUCACCAUUCACCAUAACAAAUGUAACAAUAAUGAAAAAGUGUGAAAUGUUAUGAGAAUUACCAAAAUAUGACACAGAGACAUGAAGUGGGCAAAUGCUGCUGGGAAAAUGGUGCCUACAGACUUACGCAAAACAGAGUUGCCACAAACCUUCAAUUAAAAAAAAAAAAAUGCAUUACCUGCAAAGCAUGAUAAAAUGAAGCACAAUAAAACAAGGUAUGCCUGUAUGGCUAAUCAUGAAAAUUUUUUGACUGAUUUCAAAUAAAAAUAUUAUUACUGCAGGUGAUGGUCAGAUGGAAGGGAGAUAGUCCACUUAAAUUCUCUUAAGUGUUCCAAAUUGGUUUAAACUGGAUGAAUAUUUUGCAUGAAUCCCCAUGAUCACUGUGGAAAGAAUUUUUAAGAUCUAGGGAAACCUACCACCCAGUGAACCGAACAGACUAAAACUUAAAGUUAUUAAUUUAGCUUUCUGUUUUUAAAAUAGCUUAUACUAAUUUGGAAAUGAAUAAAGAAUUUUAUGAAAAUAGUCACGCUAUAUAAUAUAAAAACAGAAAAUGAAGUACAAAUCAUUUUUUAAAAAUGAGUUACAAGUUUCCUGAAGACAGAUUACCUCAGGUUUGCCAAUACAAGUGCAGAAAGCAGAAGCAGUGCAAACUGAGAUUAUUAUAUUCAAGUUCAAAACAAAUUAGAGUAUUUUUCCUAAGAUGGUUUCGUUAUUCAUGGCCAUUUUAGGUUAUCCAUACAUAUUAUACCUUCUAAUAUGCCUUGUAGAUUUGUAUUUGCUGCCUGAAAAUUGAGUUCUUUGUGACACAUUUAAGAUAAGCUUGCAUUUUUAAAAUCAUGUUUGCUUGACUAUCAUGACCAUUUUAGAACUGAUUUAUUUCCUAGGUGAUUUGAAUUGUGAAACCUGUACCAUAACACGGGGUGGACUGGUUGGUCUUGUUUUUGGUGGUCUGUACCCUGUUUUCUUGGCUAUACCUGUGAAUGGUGGCCUAGCAGCCAGGUAGGAUUCUUUUUUUUCCUCAUAAUCAUUGAAAAACUUCAAAAAUAUAUAAAUGACUACUUCUCAAGAAUUUGAAAACAGUUAUACCUCUUGGGUAUAUAGGUUCGUAACCUUAAUUUGUUUAUUGAAUGCCAGCUACAAAGCUGCAAACAUUACUCUGCCAAGCAUGAGAGCUUUCAUUAAAGAAAAAUUCCAUCACAAAAUGGCUAGCUAUAAGCCAAAUAUUGCAGUUAUUUUCUGAUGAAUUCAUAUCUAGCAAUAUAAGCUAUAUGAGCCUUCAAAGGUAAAGUGGAUAAAGGGUCAAAAAACCCAAAAGUAUGGUUUUAAAGACUAAUGAUAUCAAAGAGAAUAACCGAAUUACCUUAAUCUUUACCUAAACUAGUUUUAUCUUAAGACUUCUGGGAUUAAUAGAUAUUGUACCAUUUGAUACAACUGUCUUUUCUAGAGAAUUGCCUCAAUGUUUUCUUAUAGGUAUGAGUCAGCCCUGCUACCAGAAAAAGGAAACAUCUUAACUUACUGGACUAGAAUUUCUAAGCCUGUCUUUAGAAAGAUGUUAUUUCCCAUUUUGCUCCAGACCAUGUUUGCAGCAUACCUUGGAUCUAGACAAUAUAAAUUAGUUAUAAAGGCUCUUCAGUUACCUGAACCUGGCCUAGAAAUUCAGUGAUUGUUAAACAACUUUGUACACAAAAAUAAAACUGUAAUGUAUGAAUAAAUGUCUAGUGUAUGAAUAAACAUACAUUUGUUAAUUUAUCACAUGAGGUACAGUUCUGGGACUGAUAACAUUAAG